AGCUUUGCACAGUGGCAAUAUUGUAGCCAAUGAGGUUUAUCUUAGGUGCGAUUAUUGCUAAUUGAAAGUUUUCCCAAUAGCCCAUCAUGAUGACUUGAAAUAUAGUCGGCACUGGCAAUUUUUGACAGUCUCUAUGGAGG
ensembl:snRNA U4 U4 spliceosomal RNA